rnacentral:rRNA from 1 species
GACGUAGGUGGCGAACGUUAUCCGGAAUCAUUGGGCGUAAAGGGUGCGUAGAUGGCAUGAUAAGUUAUCAGCGGUAAAUCGGGGCUCAACCUCGUGGAAGCUGGUAAUACUGUCAUACUUGAGUGCAGGAGAGGUUAACGGAACUCCAUGUGGAGCGGUAAAAUGCUUAGAUAUAUGGAUGAACACCAAUAACGGCGAAGGCAGUUAACUAUUCUGUUACUGACAUUGAGGCACGAAAGCGUGGGGAGCAAAAAGG